GCUCACGCAUGUAAUCCCAGCACUUUGGGAGGCCAAGGUGGGUGGAUCACUUAAGAUCAGGAGACCAGCCUAGCCAACAUGGUGAAACCCCAUCUCUACUAAAAAUAGAAAAAUCAGGCCAGGCAUGGUGGCUCACGCCUGUAAUUCCAGCACUUUGGGAGGCUGAGGCGGGUGGAUUGCCUCAGCUCAGGAGUUCGAGACCACCCUGGGCAACAUGGUAAAACCCUAUCUCUACUAAAAUACAAAAAAUUAGCUAGGCGUGGUGGCAUGCGCCUGUAAUCCCAGCUACUCGGGAGGCUGAGGCAUGAGAAUCUCUUGAGCCUGGUAGGCAGAGGUUGCAGUGAGCUGAGAUUGUGCCACAGCACUCUAGCAUGGGCUACAGAGUGAGAUUCUGUCUCAAAACAGAAGACAAAAAUUUGCUGGGUGUGGUGGCAGGUGCCUGUAGACCCAGCUACUUGGGAGGUUGAGGCAGGAGAAUUGCUUGAACCCUGGAGGCUGAGGUUGCAGUGAGCCGAGAUUGCGCCACUGCACUCCAGCCUGGGCAACACAGACUGUCUCCAAAAAAAAAAAAAAAAAGUAAAUACAGGAGUGGGCAAGCCCCUUUGAAAGCCAUCCCCGUCCAUUUUCCUCUUCCUCUGGCUUUACUUACUCUUCCCACUCCUGAUGGUCUCUAGCCUAGAGAUUUCCAGGUCUUUUGUUUGUUUGUUUGUUUGUUUGUUUUUUUCAGAGACAGAGUCUUGCUCUGUCACCCAGGCUGGAGUACAGUGGCGUGAUUAUGGCUCACUGCAGUCUUGAACUCCUGGGCUCAAGCAGUCCUCCCACGUCAGCCUCCUGAGUAGUUGGGACUGCAAGCAUGAGCCACCAUGCCCCACUAUCUCUUUUGUAUUUACUCCAGAACCCUUCUUUGGAAUGCCUACUGUGGGUAAAGCGUUGUGUAUCUCUCUUUUCAUAAUUCUUCUGUAUAGACAGAACUGAUUCUCAAGAAGCUCAUAUUCUAGUCUGGGAGACAAAUAUGUAUGUCGACAUUUAUAAUUCAGAAUGAUAGAGUGAUGAAUGCUAGAGGUGGAGGAGCACAUUAC
rnacentral:lncRNA from 1 species